rnacentral:SRP_RNA from 1 species
UCGUGCUAGGCGGGGAGCUAGCGGUGCCCUGAAGCCCGAUGCAAAUCUGGACGACCCGAAAUCCGCUUAUGCGGGGUUGAACACUUCAUUUGAGUCAGGACUUUUAGGGGCAACAGCAGGGAAUUGAGGUGCGUUGACGAUCGGGUCUUGUGAUAGUACCGUCUAUGAACCCCGCUAGGUCCGGAAGGAAGCAACGGUAAGUAGAAAGGGCUAGUCACAAGAGUGCCUGAUCUGAGUUCUUCGCCUUGCUGUUCCUAAUUGUACUGGCGAAGGAAGUUGCACGA